GGGGAGGUCAGGGGCCAUGCAGGGAGGUCCUCCUGGCUGCAAACUGGGCACGCCCAGGCGCCCCGGGGAGGGUGGCGUGGCUGGAGCUCAGUGAUGCAGGUGAAGAGUGUGUGAGAUGGAGGCCAAGGCCAAGGGACAUUAGUGAACACGAUGCUCUGAAUACAAGGAGAAAUGGGAAUUUCUAGCCUAGGAGCCGGGCUGCAGUUACAGAGCACGCUUGGAGAGAUCUCCAGUUCAUUACUGUGGAAGGCAAGAUGUGUUAAACAUGGCGCAAUUUAUGGGGAGAGGGGAGCUGCCUUUCGAUAGAAGGAGGAAAUGUGACCCAGAGGCCCUUAUAAAAGAGGCCCAUGGGAACUGCCUUGCCUCUUCCACUGUGUGAGGACACGGGAAAGGUGCCAUCUCUGAACCAGAAAAGUGGGACCUCACCAGACACCGAAUCUGCUGACGCCCAGCCUCCAGAACGGUGGGCGGGAACAAAUUAUAUUUGGAGUGGCUCUCCAUUUCUGUUAUGUACCAGACACGUUUGGGAUGCUGGAGCCCGGACAUCUUCCUGCCCUCUUUCUGUGCAGGCCACUGUGGGGAUCAACGUGGAGAAGAAGGUGCUGAAUUCACUCCCUCGGGACUGGGAAUGAGACCCAGUCAGAUGUUGAACUUGAAAAGGCCAUGUGAGGACGCAGGGAGGCACAGAGGGAAGGCAGCCGUGGGAAGGAGGUGGAGAUGGGAGUGACGCAACUAUGAGCCCAGAGUCACCCAACAGUGCCGGGACCACCAGCAGUUAGGAGAGCGGCAUGGGAGCUUUCUCCCCAAGUCUUCAGAAGGAACCAGCUCUGCCAACACCUUGAUUUUGGACCUCUGACCUCCAGCACUGUAAGUGAGUAAAUUUCUG
rnacentral:lncRNA from 1 species